ACUUUUAACAACAGAUCUCUUAGUUCUAGCAUUAAUAAAGAACGCAGCGAAAUGCGAUAAGUAGUGUAAAUUGCAGAAUUUAGUAAAUUAUCAAAUCUUUAAACGCACAUUGCGCCCCUUAGUAUUCUAUAGGGUAUGCCUGUUUAAGCGUCAUUUAUACCCUUAAGCUCUACUUAGUGUUAGGUGUUUAUUCUACUUAGGACUUGCCUUAAAACAAUUGGCAGCUAGCAUAUUAGCCUAGAGCGCAGCACAUUUUGCGCCUCUUAUUAUAGUUAUUAGUAUCUAUUAAGACACUUUUUAAGCUCUUAACCUUAGAUUAGGUAGGGAUACCCGCUAAACUUAAGCAUAUUAAUAAGCGGAGGAAAAGAAACUAAUAGGGAUUGCCCUAGUAACGGCGAGUGAAGUGGCAACAGCUUAAAUUUGAAAUCUAGCUCUUUUAGGGUCCGAGUUAUAAUUUGUAGAGGGCGCUUUAGCGUUAGUAGUAGUCUAAGUUCCUUAGAACAGGACGUUAUAGAGGGUAAGAAUCCUAUACAUAGUUACUAGCCUUUGCCGUGUAAAGCCCCUUUAACAAGUUAAGUUGUUUAGGAAUGCAGCUCUAAAUAGGAGGUAAAUUUCUUCUAAAGCUAAAUACUAGCUAGAGACCAAUAGCGUAUAAGUAGAGUAAUUAAAAGAUAAAAAGCACUUUAGAAAGAGAGUUAAAUAGCACGUGAAAUUGUUAAAAGGGAAGCGCUUGCAGCUAGACUUGCCUAUAGUUACUUAUCUAGGCUUUUGUCUAGUGCACUCUUCUACAGGCAGGCUAGCAUUAGUUUAGGCGGUUAGAUAAAGGUCUCUGUCACGUACCUCCCUUUAGGGAGGCCUUAUAGGGGAGAUAAUAUGCAACUAGCCUAGACUAAGGUCCGCGCAUCUACUAGGAUGCUAGCGUAAUAGCUAUAAGCGGCCUGUCUUAAAACAUAGACUAAGGAGUCUAAUAUCUAUGCAAGUGUUUAGGUGUUAAGCCUAGACGCGUAAUAAAAGUAAACAGAGGUAGGAACCCUUUUAGGGUGCACUAUUAACUAAUCCUAAUAUCUUUAGAAGGAUUUAAGUAAGAGCAUAGCUAUUAGGACCUAAAAGAUAGUAAACUAUGCUUAAAUAGGGUAAAGCUAGAGGAAACUCUAGUAGAGGCUCGCAGCAGUUCUAACGUGCAAAUUAAUCGUCAAAUUUAGGUAUAGGGGCGAAAGACUAAUCAAACUAUCUAGUAGCUAGUUCCUACUAAAGUUUCCCUUAGGAUAGUAGUAACGUAUUUAGUUUUAUAAGGUAAAGCAAAUAAUUAGAGGCCUAGGGGUUAAAACAACCUUUACCUAUUCUUAAACUUUAAAUAUAUAAGAAGUCCUUAUUACUUAAUUAAACGUGGACACUUAAAUGUACUGUUACUAGUAGGCCAUUUUUAGUAAGCAGAACUAGCAAUACAGGAUAAACCAAACGCGGGGUUAAGGUGCUAGAAUGCACGCUUAUUAGACACUACAAAAGGUGUUAGUUUAUCUAGAUAGCAGGAUAGUAGCUAUAGAAGUUAGAAUCUACUAAGGAGUGUGUAACAACUCACCUACUAAAUAAACUAGCCCUAAAAAUAGAUGGCGCUUAAGCGUGUUACCUAUACCCCGCCGCUAGGGCAAGAUUUAAGCCCUAGCAAGUAGGCAGGCGUAGAGGCUUGUAACAAAGCCUUAGGGGUAACCCUAGGUAGAACGGCCUCUAGUGCAGAUCUUAGUAGUAGUAGCAAAUACUUAAAUAAGAACUUUAAGGACUAAAGUAGGGAAAGGUUCUAUGUAAACAGCAGUUAGACACGGGUUAGUUAAUCCUAAGAGAUAGGGUAAUUCUAUUUUAAUGUUAGUGCUUACGCCGCGCCCUUAAAAGGGAAGCUAGUUAAUAUUCUAGCACCUAGAUGUAGAUUCUCCGCGGCAACGCAACUAAGAGCAGAGACCUUAGCAGGAGCUCUAAGAAGAGUUCUCUUUUCUUCUUAAUAGUCUGUUACCCUAAAAUUAGUUUGUCUAGAGCUAGGGUUUAAUAGCUAGAAGAGCGCUGCACUUUUGUAGCAUUUAGUGCGCUCCUAACAAGCCUUAAAAAUCUACUUAAAGAAAUAGUUUUUACGCUAGGUUAUACUUAUAACCGUAGCAGGUCUCUAAGGUAAAAAGCCUCUAGUUAAUAGAACAAUGUAGAUAAGGGAAGUUAGCAAAAUAGAUCUGUAACUUUAGGAAAAGGAUUAGCUCUAAGGGUUAGGUACGUUAGGCCUUAGGGAGAAGCCUCUAGCGCAGAAGGGCACUAACUACAAGGUAGGCGCCUCUUAGCGCUAGGGUGCAGACACCCUUAGCAGGUUUUAGCUGUCUAGCGUACGUUUAACAACUAACUUAGAACUAGUAUAGAUAAGGGGAAUCUAACUAUCUAAUUAAAAUAUAGCAUUAUAAUAGCUAGAAAGUAGUGUUAAUAUAAUGUGAUUUCUGCCUAGUACUCUAAAUAUUAAAGUAAAGAGAUUUAACUAAGCGCGGGUAAACAGCGGGAGUAACUAUAACUCUCUUAAGGUAGCUAAAUACCUUGUUAUCUAAUUAGUGACGCGCAUAAAUAGAUUAAUAAGAUUCCUACUAUCCCUAUCUACUAUCUAGCGAAACUAUAGCUAAGGGAAUAGGCUUAGCCAAAUUAGCAGGGAAAGAAGACCCUGUUAAGCUUAACUCUAGUUUAACAUUGUGAAAAGAUAUAGGGGGUGUAGAAUAGGUAGGAGCUUUAGCGCUAGUAAAAUACUACUACCCUUAUUAUUUUUUUACUUAUUUAAUAAAGCAGAGCUAGGCCUUACCGCCUAACUUCUAGCGUUUAAGGUCCUUUGUAGGCUAAUCUAGGUUAAAGAUAUUAUUAGGUAGGGAGUUUAGCUAGGGUAGCAUAUCUAUUAAACUAUAACGUAGGUGUCCUAAGGGGGACUUAUAGAGAAUAGAAAUCUCUAGUAGAGUAAAAGGGCAAAAGUCCCCUUAAUUUUAAUUUUUAGUGUAAAUAUAAACUAUAAAAGUGUAGCCUAUUAAUCCUUUAGUCCCUCAAAAUUUAAGGCUAGAGGUGCUAGAAAAGUUACCACAGGGAUAACUAGCUUGUGGCAGCCAAGCGUUCAUAGCAACGUUGCUUUUUAAUCCUUUAAUGUUAGCUCUUCCUAUUAUACUAAAGCAGAAUUUAGUAAGCGUUGGAUUGUUCACCUACUAAUAGGGAACGUAAGCUAGGUUUAGACCGUUAUAAGACAGGUUAGUUUUACCCUACUAAUAACCUUGCCCUAAUAGUAAUACCGCUUAGUAUAAGAGGAACCGCAGUUUUAGAUAAUUAGUUUUUGCGGCUAUCUAACUAGGCAUUGCCGCGAAGCUACCAUCUGCUAGAUUAUGGCUAAACGCCUCUAAGUUAGAAUCUAUGCUAGAAUAGGGUAAUUUCCGCCUACACUAGUUAGAUACAAAUAGGCCUUUAGCCCAGAACCUUACUAGAUUAGCGUUAGCAGCCCUAUUAAAGUUAGGGUUAUUAGCUAGUGUAUUGUAAUUAUAUAGUACACAGGAUUAAAUCCUUUAUAGAUAACUUAGUUGUCUAGCUAGGUCGUGUAAGUAGUUAAGUAGCCUUAUUGUUACGAGCUACUAAGCGUAAGCCCGUUGCUAGCUUAGUUAAAAUUAGGAUAUUAUGCCCUCCUUAUUUGCAAAACUGCUGCCUAAACAGCUACUAUUAAUAGAAGGAAGAGGGCUAUAGCAAACAAGUUAUAUAGUAAUUGCAAGAUAGAGAGGGCUAGAGCUAGGAGCAAUCCUCGCAAAAUAUACAAAAGAACAGGUUAUGUGUGUACGUACCUUAGGCAGUUAAUAUAUAGCAUAGGAAGAUUAAGAAAGGAUUUAAGAUAAUCUAUACAGAUUUUUAGGCGGUAAUCUAUAACUUAAGAGCGUUCUAUAACUUUUUAUUUUUUAGGGGUAGUGUUCUAUAACUCUAGGGCGUUCUAUAACUUUAGGGCGUUCUAUAACUUUAGGGCGUUCUAUAACUUUUUAUUUUUUAGGGGUAGUGUUCUAUAACUUUAGGGCGUUCUAUAACUUUUUAUUUUUUAGGGGUAGUGUUCUAUAACUUUAGGGCGUUCUAUAACUUUAGGGCGUUCUAUAACUUUAGGGCGUUCUAUAACUUUUUAUUUUUUAGGGGUAGUGUUCUAUAACUUUAGGGCUUUCUAUAACUUUAGGGCGUUCUAUAACUUUAGGGCGUUCUACAACUUUUUAUUUUUUAGGGGUAGUAUUCUAUAACUUUAGGGCGUUCUAUAACUUUAGGGCGUUCUAUAACUUUAGGGCGUUCUAUAACUUUUUAUUUUUUAGGGGUAGUGUUCUAUAACUUUAGGGCGUUCUAUAACUUUUUCUUUUUUAGAGGUAGUGUUCUAUAACUUUAGGGCGUUCUAUAACUUUUUAUUUUUUAGGGGUAGUGUUCUAUAACUCUAGGGCGUUCUAUAACUUUUUAUUUUUUAGGGUUAGUAUUCUAUAAUAUUAGAGUGUUCUAUAACUUUUUCUUUUUUAGAGGUAGUGUUCUAUAAUAUUAGAGUGUUCUAUAACUUUUUAUUUUUUAGGGUUAGUAUUCUAUAAUAUUCUUCUUGGUAGCUUUCAGUUCGACGCCCGCGAUUGAUCUCAGGCNNNNNNNNNNNNNNNNNNNNNNNNNNNNNNNNNNNNNNNNNNNNNNNNNNNNNNNNNNNNNNNNNNNNNNNNNNNNNNNNNNNNNNNNNNNNNNNNNNNNNNNNNNNNNNNNNNNNNNNNNNNNNNNNNNNNNNNNNNNNNNNNNNNNNNNNNNNNNNNNNNNNNNNNNNNNNNNNNNNNNNNNNNNNNNNNNNNNNNNNNNNNNNNNNNNNNNNNNNNNNNNNNNNNNNNNNNNNNNNNNNNNNNNNNNNNNNNNNNNNNNNNNNNNNNNNNNGGCCAAAGAAGAAACUGGGAGGUGAUGCUAACUCGUGGCGUGUACAACUUUUUAUUUUUUAGGGGUAGUGUUCUAUAACUUUAGGGCGUUCUAUAACUUUAGGGCGUUCUAUAACUUUAGGGCGUUCUACAACUUUUUAUUUUUUAGGGGUAGUAUUUUAUAACUUUAGGGCGUUCUAUAACUUUUUCUUUUUUAGAGGUAGUGUUCUAUAACUUUAGGGCGUUCUAUAACUUUUUCUUUUUUAGAGGUAGUGUUCUAUAACUUUAGGGCGUUCUAUAACUUUUUAUUUUUUAGGGGUAGUGUUCUAUAACUCUAGGGCGUUCUAUAACUUUUUAUUUUUUAGGGUUAGUAUUCUAUAAUAUUAGAGUGUUCUAUAACUUUUUCUUUUUUAGAGGUAGUGUUCUAUAACUUUAGGGCGUUCUAUAACUUUAGGGCGUUCUAUAACUUUAGGGCGUUCUACAACUUUUUAUUUUUUAGGUGUAGUGUUCUAUAACUUUAGGGCGUUCUAUAACUUUAGGGCGUUCUACAACUUUUUAUUUUUUAGGGGUAGUGUUCUAUAACUUUAGAGCGUUCUAUAACUUUUUCUUUUUUAGAGGUAGUGUUCUAUAACUUUAGGGCGUUCUACAACUUUUUAUUUUUAGGGGUAGCGUUCUAUAACUUUAGGGCGUUCUAUAACUUUAGGGCCUUCUAUAAGCUUAGGGCGUUCUAUAACUUUAGGGUGUUCUAUAACUUUAGGGCGUUCUAUAACUUUUUAUUUUUUAGGGUUAGUGUUCUAUAACUUUAGCGCGUUCUAUACCUUUUAUUUAUUCUAUUACUUUAGUCCUUUCUAUAACUUUAGACUAUUCUAUACUAGUAGCUAUUAUAUCCUUUUUAUAAUACUUAUUAUAUCAUACUAUUAUCUAUUAUUCUUUACUAUUAAGUAUAUCCUUAUAUUUUAUAAAACCUUUUCUCUACUAGCUAGUCCUACUAUACUUUCUUUUAUAACCUACUAGUAUUAAAUAAUACCUUUAUAUUCUUCUUUUAUACUAUCUCUAUUUCUUGCCUUAUCUAUUAAGUAGAUAUAGAUAGAGCUAAUAGAUCUAUAGUUAAUAUAGAUACAGUAGUUAUAGUAGAGUAUAGAUAUUAGAGUAGAUAUCCUUAUCUAUAUAUUUACCUACUACUAAUAAAAUUCUAAGUUACUCUUAUCUAGCGAAUACGGGUUUAUGGUUUAUAUAGGGCUGCGCAUGUCUACACAGUUUUAUAUAUAAAAAAGUGUACCUCUAAGCUAUUUUCCGCUGCACUAACCCCGCGACGCAAAAAUUAAACUAAAACCCAUUCCUAUAAUAUAUAAGGAGGGUAAAUAGAUUCUUAAAUACUAAAUACCUAACUAACUAACUAAGGUUAAAUCUGCUGCGCGCAGUUCUUGGAUUAGGCGGUUAAACUAGCGUUGUUAGGCACUAAGGGGGCAAUUUUUGCUUGUGUCCGCGUCUAUACUCCCUAUAACUCCCUGUUGUUAGCGCUCUGCGCCUGUUUUAGCGGCAGUUAGACUAAAUUUAAAAGUUUUAGUUUUAUAAUAGCUAGCCUUGUUUCCCAGAUUUCUGCCUAGUUUGGAUUCGCUCUAAUUAGUAGGUAAUUAGGGGCUUAGAGAUUGCUCUUCUACUUAACUAGGUAGGCCUAGGCCUAUAUGCUAAAGCAACCCUACUGUUACGCCUAGUUUUGUGGUUAGCACCUAAAGUCCUACUAUUAAAGUUUUAGCAGUAGGUAAAAUUUAGGAUCUAUAGAUAGCUAGCACUGCCAAACUAUUUAACAGAUCUUAGGGGAUAGCCCUGCCUAGCAUCUACUCCUAGUAAGCGUGGCAAAGCAUAGGUUUUCUCUACUUAAGGCAUGUAUGUGGCGAGUUUAAACACGCAGAAACGCCUAUUAGGCUUUAUUGCAGACUAUUCUUUAAGAAACUUAGUAGGGGUAAUUAAAUUAGUUGCUAGUUGUAACUAGUGCCUUGUGUGCUAUUAUGCUAGUAGCUAGAAUUGCUUCUGCAAUUUCUUAUCACGUACUUUCUACCUCCUUUUAGGGGUAGUGCUUGU
rnacentral:rRNA from 1 species